GACGAACGCUGGCGGCGUGCUUAACACAUGCAAGUCGAACGGAAAGGCCCUGCUUUUGUGGGGUGAUCGGGUGGCGAACGGGUGAGUAACACGUGAGUAACCUGCCCUUGACUUUGGGAUAACUUCAGGAAACUGGGGCUAAUACCGGAUAGGAGCUCCUGCUGCAUGGUGGGGGUUGGAAAGUUUCGGCGGUUGGGGUUGGACGCGCGGCUUAUCAGCUUGUUGGUGGGGUAGUGGCUUACCAAGGCUUUGACGGGUAGCCAGCCGGUGAGGGUGACCGGCCACAUUGGUCCUGAGGUACGGCCCAGACUCCUACGGGAGGCAGCAGUGGGGAAUAUUGCACAAUGGGCGGAAGCCUGAUGCAGCAACGCCGCGUGCGGGAUGACGGCCUUCGGGUUGUAAACCGCUUUCGCCUGUUACGAAGCGUUAGUGACGGUAAUGGGUAAAGAAGCACCGGCUAACUACGUG
rnacentral:rRNA from 1 species